rnacentral:lncRNA from 1 species
CAUUUUAUCUUCACAUCAACCCUAGGAGAUAGGUAUUAUUUUCUCUAUGACGACGUGGACUUGGAAGCUUUGGUAAAUGACAUGAACUCCUCAUUUGAAAGUUUGUAUUCUACAUGUAGCAUGCAGUCAGAAACUGCCCCCCUCCUUCAAAAUGGUCAACAUAACCGUAGCCAGUUGCCAACCUCAGGAACAAGUGCCCUCCAGCAGCAAGCGUCCCCAAAACAGAAAGUUCAGCGCUCUCAACCCAUGCACAUUCUAGCAGUCAGACGCCUUCAGGAAGAAGACCAACAAUUUAGAACCUCGUCUCUGCCCGCCAUACCAAAUCCAUUUCCUGAGCUUUGCAGCCCCACUAAUUCUCCUGUUCUCACAACAAGCUCUUUACCUCAGAAUCAACCAGCCAGCAAGCAGGUGAGUAAUUUUUGUACGUUUUGUCUGGUGUGCUUAGAAGACCAUGAGCUGGUGGUCCAAGUGGAAAGCACAAUGGGAGGUGAAAGUAAAUUUUUAUUCAGGAAGAAUUAUGCAAAAUAUGAGUUUUUCAAAAAUCCCAUGAAUUUCUUCCCAGAACAGAUGGUGGCUUGGUGUCAGCAAUCAAAUGGCAGUAUUCCCCAAACUCAGCUUUUGCAGAAUUUUUUAAACUCCAGCAGUUGUCCUGAAAUUCAAGGUUUUUUACAUGUGAAAGAGCUAGGCAGGAAGUCCUGGAAAAAAUUAUAUGUCUAUUUGCGAAGAUCAGGACUUUAUUGCUCCACAAAAGGAACUUCAAAGGAGCCAAGGCAUCUGCAGUUACUGGCUGACCUGGAAGACAGCAAUAUCUUUUCUCUGAUAGCAGGCAGGAAACAGUAUAAUGCCCCUACAGACUAUGGGUUUUGUAUAAAGCCAAACAAAUUAAGGAAUGAGACAAAAGACCUCAGGUUACUGUGUGCUGAAGAUGAACAGAGCAGAACGUGUUGGAUGACGGCUUUUAGGCUCCUCAAGUAUGGCAUGCUCCUUUAUCAGAAUUACAGAAUUCCACAGCAGAGGAAAGCCUGGCUUUCCCACUUCUCAACCCCCGUGCGCAGUGUGUCUGAGAACUCUCUCGUAGCAAUGGACUUUUCCGGUCAAACAGGAAGAGUGAUUGAGAACCCUGCUGAAGCUCAAAGCGCAGCCUUGGAAGAGGGCCAUGCGUGGAGGAAACGAAGCACAAGGAUGAAUGUCUUAGGUAGCCAAAGUCCCCUCCACCCUUCUACGCUAAGCACAGUGAUCCAUAGGACCCAAAACUGGUUUCAUGGAAGGAUUUCUCGGGAAGAAUCCCAUAGGAUUAUUAAACAGCAGGGGCUUGUGGAUGGGCUCUUCCUCCUUCGUGACAGCCAGAGUAAUCCAAAGGCAUUUGUACUCACACUGUGCCAUCACCAGAAAAUCAAAAAUUUCCAGAUAUUACCUUGUGAGGACGAGGGACAAAUGUUCUUCAGCCUUGAUGAUGGAAAUACCAAAUUCACCGAUCUGAUCCAACUUGUUGAGUUCUACCAGCUAAACAAAGGAGUUUUGCCUUGCAAACUCAAACAUCACUGUAUCAGAGUGGCCUUAUGACCUUGAAUUUGGCUCUUGGUUGAAGACUGGAUUUGCUAGAAGAAUAACUAAGAGAAAGUUAACACUGGAAUGGAUGAGCAGGUCUGUAAAUUGGUUUAAAAGUUAUGUUCUGCACCUCAAGACUCUCAAAGGGAUGGAUUCAGUGGGUGCCAACAGACCAAGAUCCUCCUGGUUUGUCCAACACCUAAGAAUGAUCUGCUGCUGAGUAUCCCAGCACACCUUCCUCCCCUUGCCAAAUAAAGGAAGGCAUGUAGAAUUGUGUGCA